rnacentral:rRNA from 1 species
AGAGUUUGAUCAUGGCUCAGCCUGAACGCUGGCGGCGUGGCUAAGACAUGCAAGUCGCACGGUGUAGCAAUACACAGUGGCGAACGGGUGAGUAAUGUAUCGCUAACGUACCCCGGUCUCUGGGAUAGCUGCUCGAAAGGGCAGGUAAUACCAGAUAAGACCACAGUGAGGAAUCUCACAGUGCUCAAAGGUCCGCCGGACCGGGAGCGGGCGAUAUCGUAUCAGCUAGUUGGUAAGGUAACGGCUUACCAAGGCGACGACGCGUAGCCGGACUGAGAGGUCGGCCGGCCACAUCGGGACUGAGACACUGCCCGGACUCCUACGGGGGGCUGCAGUAACGAAUCUUCCGCAAUGCACGAAAGUGUGACGGAGCGACGCCGCGUGGAGGAUGAAGUCCUUCGGGAUGUAAACUCCUGUCAGGGGUAAGAAAGUUCUGAUCUAUCCCAGAGGAAGUGGCGACUAACUCUGUGCCAGCAGCCGCGGUAAUUC